rnacentral:lncRNA from 1 species
UAGACAGAACUACUGUGUUAGCAAUGAUGGAUGGUGGAAUGAUGUCUGUGUUUCUGUGUGUCCGCACCAGAGAAGGAAAUGGUCUGGCAGUAUCCCGUGCUGGUCGUGGGGACAAUUCUGGUCUUUCUUGGGCUCGUGCUCUGCGUCAGGAACCUGUUCGCAAACCCAGACAAGUGUCUCUGCUGGAGUGUAAACAAAGACCUGGAGCUGCCUGUCGAGGACCCCAAAUUCAACGAACAACGCAGUCAUCAAGACAGCAGCCCGAACACUUUGACAUUUAGCAUAACUGAGGAAACUCCCAUGAUGACUCUCAAUCAGAGUCCAGCCACGCCAGAACAUCCAGCCCACAGCAGUGCUCUAGUACCAGACGGUGAACACAAAGCUGCCAAACAAAAUGAGCAAUCGGAGCACUGGCCGGCCAUCGUCCUCUACACCAUUAUCAAGGAGGUGCCCCUGCGUAGGUGGAAGGAGUUCUUGCGUCUGCUCUCGGUGACGGAUCAACAGCUGGAGCGCGUGGAGUUGGAGGCCGGUUUGGGUCUGGGCUCCAUUGAGAGGCAGUACCAGAUGCUGAGGCUGUGGAGCCAGUGCUCCUCUGCGAGCCUGAAUAAUGUCUUCUCGGCCUUGGACUACAUGGAUUUAUCCGGCUGUGCCCAGCUGCUGCAGGAAAACCUGGAGAAGCUGCAGUGGAAGCUUUAACUGAAGCAAGGGCUCACAGCCUGCAUAAGUUACAUGGGAGACAACAGUGCUUCAACCAAGGCCACCAGUUUCUGGAAAGGAUGUUACAAACUGUAGCUAUUGUACAACCACAGACAGAAAUUAUGUCACAAAUGACUCAUACUGAGUCAUGCAGCUGUGUCUAAUAAUCUAGCUAAGAGUUAAAUGGCAUUACAGAGCACGGUAGAGAUCCUGAUAGGGGUAUUUCCUUUUUUUCCCUACUUCUUUUAUUGGUUAAAUAUCAUCAAAUGCACUCAAGAUACAUGUAUAAUGUUUCCUUUCUUGAGUCUUUAUUGGGUUUAGCUCCAAAUUGACACUUAAAAUGCAGAAUUUAUUUUACACAUAAAAAAGAAAUAGGUUUCAGCUGUAGAAGUGGCUUCCUCCAAUGCAUGUGACAACAACAGCAAUAACAACAACUACAAUUUUAAAGCAGGGCGUUUUGGCUUGUUAACACUCAGGCAGAACUCUAGUAAUCUUGGUGGAGAUUUAAAGAAGGGGGAAUCUCCUUCUCUCUAGCACACCACCUUAGCUCCACUCUCUUGUGUGCCGUCUCUUAAAGACCGACUGUUAGGUUAGACUCUUCUUCAGUUUAUGUAUUUAAACUGUGUGAACAUUUUUGUGUACUAUGUAUGAUGUUUGAGCAGCACGUCUGACAUCUCCGUCAUCUCCUUUGAGAAUGAAAAUCUAUUAUUAGAACUCAGUCACUCAUUCUUGUUACGCACCCUCGUAAGGAAAGAAUACUGAAAUCCCCACAGGAUGUCAGAUUUUCAGUUUCCUGCAAAUAUAGGGUGUCAGGGUGCAGUAGGCCGGGUUUUUCUUCACCACAAAUAUUCCAUCUAAACUGAUGGUUUCCUGUUGUGAGGUUGGGGUAUCUCACUUUGAGAGCUUUUGUGUGUCAUUUCAGCUACUGACAGUAAAGGACUUGGACUUUCCAGUUAAAUCCAGUAAAUUAUUGUUUUAUUAUAAAUCUAGGUCUGUGGGUUUUUGCCUUUGGUCCUUGUGAAUUACAGUAUGUGUUUGUAUAUAUUUUAUAACUAUUGUGUUUAAUUUUAUUACAUUUUGCAUAUUUUAAUAGAAAGUUCAAUGAGUCGAUUAUUAUACUGAAACUGUCAGGGUUAGGAAUUGUAUCCUCACUGGAGUAACCUAUGCUAAAAAUGUGUAGUAACAUGGUACUCUAAGAGCCUAAGUGUCAUCAUACAGUAUGUCAUAAAUAAAGCUUGUGGCCACCAGGUGGGAGCAUUGGCUAAUUGUUUGAACAGCAGCAGCUGGUGUGCAGUUUUGUGCACAGGACUCCAUACAAAGAAAAUGCAUGCAGGGUGCUGGAGGAACUUUUAUUCUUGAGGUGGAUUAGUCCAAUCUCAUGUAUUGCAAAUUCUACUUCAGCACAAAGAACAGCUGUCCUACAUUGUCCAAAU